rnacentral:tRNA from 1 species
GAGGGUAUAGCUCAGUGGUAGAGCACAUGCUUAGCAUGCACAAGGUCCUGGGUUCAAUCCCCAGUACCUCCC